rnacentral:tRNA from 3 species
GCCACCUUAGCUCAGUCGGCAGAGCGUCUCACUCGUAAUGAGAAGGUCGCGAGUUCGAUUCUCGCAGGUGGCUCAA